CUGGCCGACGGUUUUCAGACUCUCGAUCGUUGCACCGAUAGGGAUCUUUACUGAGCGUUCUGGAGCAGCAACAUGGGACGCACCAGCUUUCUUUGGUUGCUGCUGCUAGUGGCUUCUGCAACAGGCAGCUAUCGAAGCUACGGGCACUACGGAUACGGUUACCCCUUUCCUUACUACGGCCUCGGAUAUGGGAGGUACGGCCUCGGGGGAUAUGGCCUCGGCUACGGUCUUGGAGGCUACGGUCUGGGAGGCUACGGACUCGGGGGCUACGGGCUCGGACAUGGCUACGGCUUUCCCAAGAUAUGGGGCUGACAAAAAGGCGAAGAGAGGCUGCCCCGCAUAAAAACAAAAGAUCUCCAGGAAUACAGUAAAGAAGAGGCUCACAUUUUUUUCAAGUGGCACGUAGCGUGAGGUCCAUUCAUCAAGAUCCCAGAGGGCACUUGUUCAAACCGUGGAGAGACCCGCCUAGAAUGUCAUCACCUAUGAAGUCAACGCCGCAGAUUGCUAGUCAAUAAAAGAAGUGAACGCUUUCCAUGCACUCUGGACACAUGACUCGGAGCCGCAAAGUGAAACUGAAAGUAUUGACAAGCCCUUCUCGCAGAAUGAACACCGUGUAUCUAAGGAGAGAUAGAGAAUAAACAUUUUUAUUGGGUGAA